GAGCCUCCUCCGUGAUGAGAAUUGAGAAGACGAGCUACUGUUGCGGUGUAACGGACACGGUAGCCUAGAGGUGAGAGCAAAACGCGGAGGAGUAAACGACGUCGCCAUCUCGGGAUCAUCUGACAAACCAAUCAUGAAUCCUUUUUCUUCCGUUAAUAUGUUUCAGGGACAUGAUUAGAUCCAUAAGAGCUUGCAAAACAGCUGCUGAGGAGCGUGGUGUUGUGAGAAAAGAGUGUGCUGAUAUCAAAGCAUCUAUUAACGAGAAUGACCCACAUGAUAGGCACCGUAACCUCGCCAAGCUCAUGUUCAUACACAUGCUUGGUUACCCUACACACUUUAGUUAGGUGGAGAGUUUGAAGCUUGUUGCAUCUCCUGGCUUUCCAGAGAAGAGGAUUGGUUAUCUCAGGUUGAUGCUGCUUCUUGACGAGAGACGAGAAAUGCUUGUCCCAAAUUCAUUAAAACAGUACUCCCUCCGUAUUUAUUUAAAUGACGAUUUGUUUGUUUCACUAUACUUGACGCUUUGCAGAAAUCAAUGCAAAUUAUAGUGACAAAAGACUAUAUUUACCCUAUAUUCAAUUUGAUAUACGACAUAAGAUUGUUAAUUAA